UGCAGCCAGAAAGCGGAAGAUGCCAAGGAUGGAGUUCCUUAUCAACAGGGGCUUGGUCGGUGAUUGGCCGUGACGUGGCUUGGUCCAACGUUGACAGGUCGUCCAUGAUGAGCGGGACGCACCGAUUGGAUGUUGCAGUGAAGCUGAUGAGUGACUGAAAGGUACACAGCUGCCAGUGCUGCAGAAACCCCGUAUCAUCACUCCUCUACCAUCAUGCAUAACAGUUUGAAUGAGUAACUAGUUCUGAGAUGCGCCAUGAAUUGUGGAGGUCGCUGACCUGUCUGUCUGUCUCUGAACGAGCCUCCUCUCUCAAUGACGCGGCUCAGAGGCGGCGGCGCACCAGCAACCCUGGG